rnacentral:rRNA from 1 species
AACGAACGCUGGCGGCGUGUUUAAGACAUGCAAGUCGCACGGGGCCCCAUGAGUAGCAAUACAAGUGUGGUUCAGUGGCGCACGGGUGAGUAACACGUGAAUCACAUGCCCUUCAGCGGGGGAUAGCCCAGGGAAACUUGGAUUAAUACCCCAUGGACUCGCAGGAGUAAAGGCGGCCGCAAGGCUGCCGCUGGAGGAUUGGUUCGCGCCCUAUCAGCUAGUUGGCGGGGUAACGGCCCACCAAGGCGACGACGGGUACCUGGUCUGAGAGGACGAUCAGGCACACUGGAACUGAGACACGGUCCAGACACCUACGGGUGGCAGCAGUCGAGAAUAAUUCACAAUGGGGGCAACCCUGAUGGUGCAACGCCGCGUGGAGGAUGACGGUCUUCGGAUUGUAAACUCCUGUCAUCCGGGAGUAAGACCUGGGGGUUAAGAGCCCACAGGGUUGAUAGUACCGGAAGAGGAAGGGACGGCUAACUUCGUGCCAGCCGCCGCCGUAACAC